CCAGACUCCUACGGGAGGCAGCAGUGAGGAAUAUUGGUCAAUGGGCGCGAGCCUGAACCAGCCAAGUCGCGUGAGGGAGGACGGCCCUACGGGUUGUAAACCUCUUUUGCCGGGGAGCAACGGGCGUCACGUGUGGCGCCACUGAGAGUACCCGGAGAAAAAGCAUCGGCUAACUCCGUGCCAGCAGCCGCGGUAAUACGGAGGAUGCGAGCGUUAUCCGGAUUUAUUGGGUUUAAAGGGUGCGUAGGCGGACUGGAAAGUCAGCGGUAAAAUCGAGAGGCUCAACCUCUUUCCGCCGUUGAAACUGUCGGUCUUGAGUGGGCGAGAAGUAUGCGGAAUGCGUGGUGUAGCGGUGAAAUGCAUAGAUAUCACGCAGAACUCCGAUUGCGAAGGCAGCGCACCGGCGCCCUACUGACGCUCAGGCACGAAAGCGUGGGUAUCGAACAGGAUUAGAUACCCCCGUA
rnacentral:rRNA from 1 species